CUGCGGAAGGAUCAUUAUCGUAGGGCUUCGGCCCUGUCGAGAUAGAACCCUUGCCUUUUUGAGUACCUUUCGUUUCCUCGGCAGGCUCGCCUGCCAAUGGGGACCACAAAAAACACUUUGCAGUACCUGUAACAGUCUGAACAAACAAACAAAAAUUAAAACUUUCAACAACGGAUCUCUUGGUUCUGGCAUCGAUGAAGAACGCAGCGAAAUGCGAUAAGUAGUGUGAAUUGCAGAAUUCAGUGAAUCAUCGAAUCUUUGAACGCACAUUGCGCCCUUUGGUAUUCCUUAGGGCAUGCCUGUUCGAGCGUCAUUUAAACCUUCAAGCUAAGCUUGGUGUUGGGUGACUGUCCGCCUCACGGCGGACUCGCCUCAAAAUUAUUGGCGGCCGGUACAUUGGCUUCGAGCGCAGCAGAAACGCGAACUCGGGCCCGUCGUAUUGGCUCCCAGAAGCUAUCUUCACAAUUU
rnacentral:rRNA from 1 species